CCCUGGCUCAGGACGAACGCGGGCGGCGUGCCUAAUACAUGCAAGUCGAGCGAAUCUGAUGGGAGCUUGCUUCCUUGAUGAUUAGCGGCGGACGGGUGAGUAACACGUGGGUAACCUGCCUGUAAGACUGGGAUAACUCCGGGAAACCGGGGCUAAUACCGGAUAACUUUUUUCUUCGCAUGAGGGAGAAUUGAAAGAUGGCUUCGGCUAUCACUUACAGAUGGACCCGCGGCGCAUUAGCUAGUUGGUGAGGUAACGGCUCACCAAGGCGACGAUGCGUAGCCGACUUGAGAGGGUGAUCGGCCACACUGGGACUGAGACACGGCCCAGACUCCUACGGGAGGCAGCAGUAGGGAAUCUUCCGCAAUGGACGAAAGUCUGACGGAGCAACGCCGCGUGAGUGAUGAAGGUUUUCGGAUCGUAAAACUCUGUUGUUAGGGAAGAACAAGUAUCGUUCGAAUAGGGCGGUACCUUGACGGUACCUAACCAGAAAGCC
rnacentral:rRNA from 1 species